UAGGCGGAAUGUUGCGUAAAGGGAAAGGUCGUAUUCAAACCCUUCAGCCACGCGAGCGCUAAGUCAGCCACGAAUUGGCUAGCCCGACUAACGGAGGGUAUGACUCCACGGAGGGUGUAAGACCCGUGUGGGCGCGUGCAAAAGCUGAAUGGGGAAGGCCUCUGUUCCCUGAGAGUCGCGUUGCUUGGGCAUGCAGCGCUAAGCAGGUCGUAAACUCGAUCUAAGGCUAAAUAUAUCCACAGGACCGAUAGCGAACAAGUACCGUGAGGGAAAGUUGAAAAGCACUCUGAAGAGAGAGUCAAAAGACCGU
rnacentral:rRNA from 1 species